CAAAAAGAUUGGAGCUUUGCAAAAUUCCAAUGUUGCUGAUCACAUGUCUGAACCCACUGACAAUAGUUCUGCAUCAAGUGAGAGGAUGGAGUCUGUAGAAGCCGUUCCAAUCCAUGGUCAGAGCUCCCAAGAAGCUGUUCCAAUGCAUGAUGAGAACUCCCAAGAAGCUGUUCCAAUCCAUGACCAGAGGUCCCUAGAAGCCGUUCCAAUGCUUGACGAGAGCUCCCAAGAAGCUGUUCCAAUCCAUGACCAGAGGUCCAUAGAAGCCGUUCCAAUCAAUGACAAGAGCCCCCUAGAAGCUGUUCCGAUGAAUGAUGAGAGGAUCAGUG
rnacentral:lncRNA from 1 species